rnacentral:tRNA from 1 species
GAGGGUGUAGCUCAGUGGUAGAGCACAUGUCUAGCAUGCACAAGGUCCUAGGUUCAAUUCCCAGUACCACCA